rnacentral:misc_RNA from 1 species
AUAGGCGGCUGCAACAGUUGGGAAUUUAGAGUGAUGUCACUUGUGUCUGAAGCUUUUGCCAUUUUGUUUGUCAUUUCUCUUUUGGUUAUUAGGUUUCAUUUUUAGACAUAAGCAUUAAUUUGAGUCUUCAAUUAUGCGGUUUUUUUCCCCUGUUGAAAUGUCGAAACGUUGUUAACCAAGAUAAUCUUUUCUAACUUGUGUCUGACUGCCAAGGAUUUGAUUAUGAAUAUUCAUGUGUCUCAG